AGAAUACAAGAUUACGCCAACUGCCAUCGUGUGAAGUAAAUCUUUUGAGCUAAGAAGAAGAAGCAUAGAACAGCAUGUAAAUUGUAAACAAAAAUUGCGAAAAAGGACGAAAUCGGAGUACAACCACGCCUACUUCCUAUGUAAGACGAUUUUUAAUUCCAUCUGAUUAUUUCGCUUUCGACAUCAGCAUCAUUCAAGCGCCCUGGGUUAGAGAAGACACCGUUAAAGGGCUGACCAGCAGCAAUUACAACAUUUUUUGCAAACGGAGCGAAGCACAUCACACAUUUCUAAUCACACCACAGUGGUAAAGGUGGAACAAAAGGGAUCUAGUUUCUUUUUAGAGGCUUAGCAAGGAGGGGAAGCAGCAAUAACAUCAGGAAUGUUGAAAAGCUGGAUGCAGAGGUGGAGAAGAUUGAAAACAUCUUAACCACUAUUUUAAUUUUUAAUUAUUUUAACAAAUCCACACCCUUAACUGUUCUGAAGAAACGGAAGUCACCUUUUUGGUGGAACAACAAUCUUAAGAACAUAAAAACUUAACUAAAUACAGCUUUUAAUGAAAGUUAUAAGACCAAAAUUUGCCACUUUAUAAAGAUAUCAUGAAGAUAAACAAAGCAAAAACCAGUCGUCAGGAUAGCUAAGCCAGACUCAUGGCAAUAUUUUUGCUCAUUAAUAGAAAGUUGCAGAGAAUCUUCCAGGCUGAGUAAUAUACUGUCCAAAGAACAUAUUGCUUAUUUAAAGACGGAGAUGCUUGGACCUCCUCAGUUGGAGAGUCACUUAAGGUUCUAAUGAACACCCACUUCCUUGGUAGUCAGCAAUCCGUGGCAAGGGGUGUUCAACAGGAACUAGCUUCAACUACAGUAGACCAGUCAUAGUCAACAAGAAGAAAAUACAAUAGAAUACUAUAUUAACAGCUCCCUUAAUGUUGCAGAAGCUAAAAUACCCUCUAAGGCUUGAAAGGAUCUAUAAGGCCAAACCUAGCAAAAACAGGCAGAAGAACACACGUUAAUGCUGAAGACUAUAGACCCAUAAGCCUCACCUCCUUCACGUUGAAGGCCCUAGAGAGGCUAAUGCAUUGGUAGUAACCGUAAAAGAAAAGUCAUUACACUUCAAGCAAUUUACAAUAACUGCCUUCCUAAACAUAGAAGGAGCUUUUAACCACUUAAAAGUAAGCACAAUCACUGAGUCUCUGACACAGGGCGGCAUGGACGACACGGUGUGCAGAUGGAUUCAAUCGAUGGUUAUGAUCAGAAUUAUUAUAGCAUCACAUGGUUCAGUGAUACGAACAAUUUAUGGAAGCAUUGAGACUCCUUAAGUAGGUGUGUAGUCCUCGCUUCUAUGGCUAGUGGCACUGUAUACUACUUCAACUCAAAGGAGGAGAAGUGAAGGCAGUAGCUUAUACAGACGAUAUAGUGUUAUUGGUAUCAGGGCUGUUUCAUUCCACUACCAGUGAGAUUAUGGAAAUAGCCUUACAGAGGUUACGCUUAAGGGCCGCCAAUAACAGACCAGGUGUGAACCCAAUAAAACCAAAAUACUUCAAUUUCAGCUCUCCACACGCGGUGGCACUACAAUUUCUUUGUCCCCAACUGCAAAAUAUUUGGGGGUGGAGAUAGAUACCAAACUGAUAUGGAAAUUUAAUAUUGAGAAACGUUUAAAGAAAGCUUAUAAGGCGUAUUACACGUACAAGAGGAUAUGCAGCAAAAACUGGGGCCUAAAACCAAAUAUAGUCAUGUGGACGUACACGGCCGUCAUUAGACCAAUCCUUACAUAUGGAGCAGUGAUUUGGUGGCUAGCAUUAGAAAAAAAAUAUAACAUCAGAAAACUAAAUGGAAUUUAGAGUAGGGCAGCAUGUGCAGGGGUUACAGGGGCGUUUAAGUCAUGUCCGAUAUUCUUCUGCGCCAAGUGCGCAUAGAAAUUUGCAUACGGAAAGUGGCAAGACGAUACUAAUCGGACCAAGGUUGAAGGAGGAGAAUACUACGUCAAUUUAUACCGACGUGUCCUGAGUGCGGUGUAAAGACGGGGGUAUAUUCCGAGAAUCUAGAUAUCUCUUUAUCGAUACAGAAAGCGGCCAUUUAUAGAUAGAUCAACUGCAUCGUCGUAAACAAAGCAAAGAAGGCUUUAAGCUCACUGGCAGAUCAACUCCACUUGUUCUUUAUUUGGGUUCCCGGUCUCUAGACAAAUGCGAGGCAGAGACAAAACCGUGUCCGCUAGGAUCGAUCAAGAGGAUGCUCAAUAUACAAUUUGAGCAAAUAGUGCAGAAUUGCAGUGCAUUUGCAGAACAUGCGUUAUAAAUGAGUAGGCUCUAUAAUAGCACUUGCCGUGGAUGUAAACUUGAAGGGAGUAAGAAAACGAUUCUACACUUCCUCUGAGCGCCCAACUUGGAACGUGAUGUCAAGAUACAAAGUCCUAUGGUAGUAUAUCAAAAUGGCGCACUCUAGCUGGUUGUAUACUGAGCUUUGUAAACUCAAAAAUGAAUGCCAAAUGACUACCAUAAUCGAAACUACUUACAGAAAACUCCUGAUAUUAUAUUCGCUGAUUCAAAAAAUUACUUACUUUCGACCAUAAUCCGCAAAAGUGAAAUUACAAAAAUUUUACCUUUCAUAGUUUUUUUAUUCAAAAUAGAAUCGCACUUUAACAAACGCUAAAUUUACACAUUUUUUAUUACGGUAUAUGCAUAUAGCAUGCACAUACAUAUACAUGUUAUACAUAUGUACAAUAUGUAUGGUAUUAGGCUAAGUUAUAACAAAUGUGUAUAUGUUUGUUUAUUCUUAUGUAUAUCAUUGUGCAAAUCUUUUAGUUACACACCACACACAUUUAAUUCAAUUAUUUAGAAAU